AUAUUUAUUUGAACAGAAAAGCUUGAUUUUUAUAUUUCUAUUUUUGGUCCUUCUGAGCUAGUAGGUCGGGACUCAGGAAGCUUGAUUAAGUGAGUUCUACCUAAAAUCAGAGACAGCUUUUUUCACCAAAUUAGUCAUAGCUGUGUAUUCAUUGUGGGGACCAAGGAUGAUGGGAUGUGGAGAAAUGACAUGAAACCUAAGCCAGUGUUCAUAGUCUUGGAAAUUCAUAAAAUGUAUUCAAAUGACAAGCCCUCACCUUGGAAACAGGAAGUCUUAAUGAUAUCUGCCCACCACUUGAAAUAGUACAGAUUUAUUUUUUCUGUUCACUCAGAAUUUAAAAGUAGGUCGGGACUCAGGAAGCUUGAUUAAGUGAGUUCUACCUAAAAUCAGAGACAGCUUUUUUCACCAAAUUAGGUAGGUCUGUUCUCUCCCCUCUUCCCUCAUCUAUCCCCCGUUUCUGACCUGGGUUGUUCCCUUCUUUUCCUCCCCCAAACUUUCACUUAUGCUUCUUCUAUGGGCCUCCAUCCCAGCACCAACUUCCAUCAGCAGAGGUGGGGCGCUCUGGUCACUUGGUCUGGAUUCAGCCUGUCUCACUGGUGCAGGAAACACCGGCUGGGCUGAGAAAAAAGUGUAUCCUGUUUAAUUUCUUGGCUCCUUACAGACUGAAUUAUCCAGAACUUGCCCGACUGAUAAAGAUGAAAAGAUAAAUAGUUGUCUCUCAUGCAUUCAUAUAGACAUCUGAAUGGGUAGGAUUUAGAUAAGUACAGAUGAAUACAAAUACAAUCCUGAAUUAGAAAGAAGCAUUGUUGAGCCUGUGUGAACCUUACUCUGUUUAGAGUCAUAGCUGUGUAUUCAUUGUGGGGACCAAGGAUGAUGGGAUGUGGAGAAAUGACAUGAAACCUAAGCCAGUGUUCAUAGUCUUGGAAAUUCAUAAAAUGUAUUCAAAUGACAAGCCCUCACCUUGGAAACAGGAAGUCUUAAUGAUAUCUGCCCACCACUUGAAAUAGUACAGAUUUAUUUUUUCUGUUCACUCAGAAUUUAAAAGGUAAGUUGUUAGUAGUUACAUUUUACCUCUCUCAGGUUUACCUGCUUAUGGUUAAGUUUAAAUAUGU